rnacentral:rRNA from 1 species
AUUGAACGCUGGCGGCAGGCUUAACACAUGCAAGUCGAGCGGAGAUGAGGUGCUUGCACCUUAUCUUAGCGGCGGACGGGUGAGUAAUGCUUAGGAAUCUGCCUAUUAGUGGGGGACAACAUUCCGAAAGGAAUGCUAAUACCGCAUACGCCCUACGGGGGAAAGCAGGGGAUCUUCGGACCUUGCGCUAAUAGAUGAGCCUAAGUCGGAUUAGCUAGUUGGUGGGGUAAAGGCCUACCAAGGCGACGAUCUGUAGCGGGUCUGAGAGGAUGAUCCGCCACCCUGGGACUGAGACACGGCCCAGACUCCUACGGGAGGCAGCAGUGGGGAAUAUUGGACAAUGGGCGGAAGCCUGAUCUAGCCAUGCCGCGUGUGUGAAGAAGGCCUUUUGGUUGUAAAGCACUUUAAGCGAGGAGGAGGCUACCUGGAUUAAUACUCUAGGAUAGUGGACGUUACUCGCAGAAUAAGCACCGGCUAACUCUGUGCCAGCCGCCGCCGUAA